UGGUUGACCUGGUUGAGGUUAGCGUUGAUACU
rnacentral:scRNA from 1 species